AUCCUCCUCGGGGGGCAGCAGUAGGGAAUCUUCCACAAUGGACGAAAGUCUGAUGGAGCAACGCCGCGUGAGUGAAGAAGGGUUUCGGCUCGUAAAGCUCUGUUGGUAGUGAAGAAAGAUAGAGGGAGUAACUGGCCUUUAUUUGACGGUAAUUACUUAGAAAGUCACGGCUAACUACGUGUCAGCAGCCGCGGUAAUACGUAGGGGGCAAGCGGUGUCCGGAUUUAUUGGGCGUUAAGCGAGUGCAGGCGGGUUAAUAAGUAUUAUGUGAAAAGCUUUUGGUCCAACGGGGGAUUGAGUCAGAA
rnacentral:rRNA from 1 species